AACGAACGCUGGCGGCAUGCCUAACACAUGCAAGUCGAACGGGAACUUCGGGUCUUGUUGCGCACGGGUGCGUGCCACCUGGUAACCAGCCCUUGGGUUCGGUGUCCCUCCCCGAGGGGGAUGCUCAUGACGCUUAAUCUCUUAGGACCUAAGAUUUCUCGCCUUUGGAUGGGCCCGCGUUGGAUUCGCGAGUUGGUAGGGUACAAGCCUACCAAGGCCACGAUCCUUAGCUGGUCGGAGAGGAGGAUCAGUCACACUUGGACUGAGACACGGCCCAGAAUCGGACGGGAGGCAGCAGUGGGGAAUAUUGGACAAGGGGCGAAGGCCUGAUACAGCAAUGCCGGGGAAGUGAGGAAGGCCGUAGGGUUGUAAAUCUCUCUUACCCGGGACGAUAAUGACGGUAACGGGAGAAGAAGCACCGGCUAACUCCGUG
rnacentral:rRNA from 1 species